rnacentral:rRNA from 1 species
GGUACUCGAGCGGCGAACGGGUGAGUAACACGUGAGCAACCUGCCCCAGGCUUUGGGAUAACCCCGGGAAACCGGGGCUAAUACCGAAUAUGACCUCUGACCGCAUGGUUGGUGGUGGAAAGUUUUUCGGCUUGGGAUGGGCUCGCGGCCUAUCAGCUUGGUGGGGUGGGGUGAUGGCCUACCAAGGCAACGACGGGUAGCCGGCCUGAGAGGGCGACCGGCCACACUGGGACUGAGACACGGCCCAGACUCCUACGGGAGGCAGCAGUGGGGAAUAUUGCACAAUGGGCGGAAGCCUGAUGCAGCGACGCCGCGUGAGGGAUGACGGCCUUCGGGUUGUAAACCUCUUUCAGCAGGGACGAAGCGUAAGUGACGGUACCUGCAGAAGAAGCGCCGGCCAACUACGUGCCAGCAGCCGCGGUAAGACGUAGGGCGCGAGCGUUGUCCGGAUUUAUUGGGCGUAAAGAGCUCGUAGGCGGCUUGUCGCGUCGACCGUGAAAACUUGGGGCUCAACCCCAAGCCUGCGGUCGAUACGGGCAGGCUAGAGUUCGGUAGGGGA